UACGUAGGGGGCAAGCGUUGUCCGGAUUUAUUGGGCGUAAAGAGCGUGUAGGCGGCCUGACAGGUCUGCUGUGAAAACUCGAGGCUCAACCUCGAGAUGUCGGCGGAAACCGUCUGGCUAGAGUCCGGGAAGAGGAGAGUGGAAUUCCUGGUGUAGCGGUGAAAUGCGCAGAUAUCAGGAAGAACACCUAUGGCGAAGGCAGCUCUCUGGGACGGUACUGACGCUGAGACGCGAAAGCGUGGGGAGCGAACAGG
rnacentral:rRNA from 1 species